rnacentral:snRNA from 1 species
GUCUGUGAGGGUGAUCCGACUGCUACCUGUCAUCUCACUGAUCGAUCACCAGGGUUGAUUCAGCCAAUCUGACUGGCUAGGUGUGUGUUGCCUUCCUCCCUCACUGUUCCACACGUCUCUCUCCUAAAGCUGCCGGCCCCACUGAAGAGGACACCCUUCCCCACCCAGAGGAGGGCCCGUCUUUCUUUGGUCCAGGGUCCCCUCUUAGUUGUGGUUUCCUAAUAAAAUCUCCAAACAAGCUCUCAAUUAAAGGUGUAAAUAUGCAAUGAAAAGCAGCAAAGUAUUUCUCCAAUCGUCUACGUUUUAGGGCUUACCUUAAGGAGACCCUAGAAGU